rnacentral:ncRNA from 1 species
AGAAAACACUGCGGGAGCCUGAUACGCGGCACGUGCGGCAAUUGCCGGCGGCCGACAGGCUGAGAGGGUGCCUGGCACCGACCGUCGAACCUGAUCCGGGUCAUGCCGGCGUAGGGAAGGAAGCUCAAAGUUGU